rnacentral:rRNA from 1 species
UUCCAGACUCCUACGGGAGGCAGCAGUGGGGGAUAUUGCACAAUGGGGGGAACCCUGAUGCAGCGACGCCGCGUGGGUGAAGGAGUGCUUCGGCAUGUAAAGCCCUAUCGGCAGGGAAGAAGCAAGACGGUACCUGACUAAGAAGCCCCGGCUAACUACGUGCCAGCAGCCGCGGUAAUACGUAGGGGGCAAGCGUUAUCCGGAUUUACUGGGUGUAAAGGGAGCGUAGACGGCUAGUCAAGUCAGAAGUGAAAGCCCAGGGCUCAACCUUGGGACUGCUUUUGAAACUGAGUAGCUAGAGUGCAGGAGAGGUAAGCGGAAUUCCUAGUGUAGCGGUGAAAUGCGUAGAUAUUAGGAGGAACACCAGUGGCGAAGGCGGCUUACUGGACUGUAACUGACGUUGAGGCUCGAAAGCGUGGGGAGCAAACAGGAUUAGAUACCCGAGUA